CGGCUGGUCAAGAAGGGUCAGAUCAGAUACUUCUCGUUCUCACCGGACAUGUAUCGCCACGACUUCCACAGCACCGAAGUGCGCUGUCUGGCCUCCAACAGCGCCGGGGCCAUCAUCAGCCUGCCGGUGCACAUCAGGGCAGUGAUGAACCAGCCGUUUAACCUGGGGGUGCGGGACAGCUACGCCUCGCCCGGCAGUCCCGCCCUGUUCACCUGCGACGUGCCCGACUACGUCACCGACCACGUGACCGUGGCGUCGUGGG